rnacentral:piRNA from 1 species
AUGAGUGAGCAGCAGCCUGAACCA